rnacentral:rRNA from 1 species
UACGAGGGGGGCGAGCGUUGUUCGGAAUUAUUGGGCGUAAAGGGUGCGUAGGCGGUUCGGUAAGUCUUGUGUGAAAUCUUCGGGCUCAACUCGAAGUCUGCACGAGAAACUGCCGGGCUUGAGUAUGGGAGAGGUGAGUGGAAUUCCUGGUGUAGCGGUGAAAUGCGUAGAUAUCAGGAGGAACACCUGUGGCGAAAGCGGCUCACUGGACCAUAACUGACGCUGAUGCACGAAAGCUAGGGGAGCAAACAGG